AACGAACGCUGGCGGCAGGUCUUAGGCAUGCAAGUCGAACGGGUGUAGCAAUACAUCAGUGGCGCACGAGUGAGUAACGCGUGGGAAGCUGCCCUUCACUGGGGAAUAACGUUUGGAAACGAACGCUAAUACCGCAUACGCCGGAAACGGGAAAGAUUUAUCGGUGAAGGAUGCGCCCGCGUUGGAUUAGCUUGUUGGUGGGGUAACGGCCUACCAAGGCGAUGAGCCAUAGCUGGUCUGAGAGGAAGAUCAGCCACGCUGGAACUGAGACACGGUCCAGACUCCUACGGGAGGCAGCAGCUAAGAAUCUUGGACAAUGGGGGAAACCCUGAUCCAGCCAUGCCGCGUGAAUGAAGAAGGCCUUCGGGUUGUAAAGUUCUUUUCGUCGUGAAGAUGAUGACAGUAGCGACAGAAAAAGCACCGGCUAACUUCGUGCCAGCCGCCGCGGUAA
rnacentral:rRNA from 1 species